rnacentral:rRNA from 1 species
GUCUACAGUGAGACCACCCUGAACACAUUUGAUCUCAGGAGCUAAGCAGGGUGGGGCCUGGUUAGUACUUGGAUGGGAGACCUCCUGGGAAUACUGGGUGCUGUAGGCU